GGCGGAUGAAACGGAGAGUAGAGGACGCAGGAUGCUAACUGGCUUUUCCUCCCAAGUGCAGGUCACCUGAACCGCGAUGCCUCCCAGUCUCUGAGGAGGCUCCCUGAACUCGCCAUAUGGCUCCGUUUUCAAGAGGAGGGAAGAAACAGUUUUGUGCCAACCUGCCCGCGGCAGGCAACCCCUUCCCCAACCCCUGCCCUGAGCGCGAGCUACUGCCGGCAUCCACGGUCCCGCCCGCUCCGGGCUGGGGCCGGCAGCUCCCCCGGCGGCCGCCUCUGCACCAGUCGCCAACCUCCGCGGCGGGCCGAGGUCAUGCCCGCCUGCCCCCCGGCGCCGGCGAGGCCCCCUCCCUGUGCCAGGCGGCAAGCCGGAGAUGCGCCGGCAGGGAAGGGGGAUCGGCGGCAGAGUUGGCACCCGGACUCACCAGGGAAAACAGGAACAAACCUCUUCUUGUCCUAGUUAAGACACAAGUGACAGACUGAAGACACAAGUCAAUCCAAGUGUAUACAGCAUGGUAACCAUUGCUGCAGUGAGUUCCUGAGUGCAAGGCCGUGUCAUGUCAGAAGACAGAACUUCACAGCAUGCCUCCCCAUCCUCAGCCUCUUAUAUUCUUUCCAUCCCUUCUUCUGUGAUGUUUCCUGAGCCUCAUGGGGAAGGGGGAAUGGAUAUGGAUGUUCCAUUUAGAGAAAAAUGCUGAAAAGUCACUUACUCUGACCAGAUAUUUGCCUCAGCAUCAGCUGCUGACCAUUACAGAGAGAAGCCUCUCUGGCCAAAAAUGUGGGCAGGGCUAAUCUAUAAGCCCUGCCUUUCUUAAGUUUUUUUUUUCAAAUUCUUUGUCAUAGUGAUGAAAACUAACUGAUGCAGAUGCGUAUCAAAGCAGUGAACUUUGAGAAUCACUGCCUGACACCUCCCCAAGUCCUCCUUCUAAACUGCUCCACAGCAUUUAUAGGCAGGUGGUAAAGAAAGCAAAAAGUAGUGAAGGAGAAAGGGAAUAACACAUCUUCGACUUUGGAUAAUAGGCAGGCAAGAUCAGGUUUCUCUGCCAAGAAUCCUGUGCCUCCAACUUUUUACACAUUAAACCUAGUCAGUUAUCUGGUAUUUGUUGUCAUGUUCUGCAUUGUCCUAGCCUUGGGUCCCCCAGAGCCUGAGAAUGCAGUAGCAGGGAUUUCUUACCUGCUUUCAUCUUUCUUUGAAAUCUGGGCCAGCACUCUAGAAAGAAACAGGCCUUGCAUGCUGAAGUCUUUUGUACCCAGACUUCAAAGUUUAACACUGGAAUGAAAGUCUUUUUCUACAUAAGCCUAUGGAUUUUUCCCAGGAGAAAGGGAGAGAUUUAAGUUCAACCACAUUUGGGGAAUGAUCUUCGUGUGACACAGCUUUGCUGACUUCUCUCUGGAAGAGCAUGAGAACUGUAAUAGCUGAGCACGAAUGCUGGAUUUGAACUUGCUGGAAGUGCAGCAAGCUGCUCCACAAACAAGAAGCUAACAGGAGACAUUGAGGUUUAUUUCCUGGCCUCUUUUUGUUUCAAACCAAAAUAUAAGUAUUUGAGCUAAGAAAUAGCCAUUUUGUUAUACCAAACUUCCAGGAGGCUGGAUGAUGCCUUCUGACACUAACUAAGGUUGGAUCUUGCCCAUUCUGUUCACCAGGCUAUAUACAGUCUUUACCAAACAUCCUCAUAGAGCCACCUGGGGAAGCCAAAUACUCCAUUUAAACAGAAGCUACCAAAGGUUUCCUUUUUACUGUAAGAGAAAUGGGAUUGGAGUCUACUGAAACAUUGGAUGCAAAAUGCAUCACCAACUACUGGAGUGUUCCUUAAUUCAGUCAAUUUUUGCCACCCCAAAUCAACCAACCCAAGUAUGUCUGUCCAUUUUAUGUUGCUGCAAACAAGAGCUUCACACUGGAUAACUUAGAGGAAAAGAUGUUUAUUUUCUCUUACAUCUAGAGGUUUGUACAAUCUAAGCUCAAGGUACUGUCAGGUUGUCUAGUGAGGAUGACACUCUCCUUCCAAGAUGGCACCAUAGCCAUCCUCCGUAAGGGAGGAGUCCUCCAUCUACACAUGGCAGAAGAGCAAGUGAAUGCGAAUGCUGCACAGCUUCCCUUUUUAAGCCUUUAUUCCCAUUCAUAAAAGUGGAACCCAAGAACUUAAUAGCCUCAUAAGGCCACAUUCUUAAGACAGUGAUGGUGGAACACCUGAGUUUUGGAGGCCACACACUCAAACCAUGAAACAAAUAUAAAUGUUAACACAGGAAGGAAGAAGAGUAGAUGUAGCAUAAAGCAGUUGGGCUGAUGAUUUGUUGAAGGAAUGAGUGAGUGAGUGGGUAAAUAAGAGAACCAACAGUUGAUGGCUCUGCCACCCACGGCCUUAUCUCAAAGCCAAAGGAUCAUCUCUGAGUAAAAUCCUCAUGGCAGCAUUAGUUAGGGACGGAAGUUGGAGAGGCUUAUUUUUUUCUAGGGUAUAGUUAUUUACCUAGAGUCCAGAUGAAAGGAAAUUAAGGUAGUCCUCCUAUCUUUCCACCCAGUGUUGAAUAUAGGUGCAGUGAAGGAACAACCCAAACUCUGUUCCUGAUGGUAACUUGUCCUAUUUUUAUUUGAGGAUGGCAGACAAUUGGCAAACACGGAACAUUCUCUAAUUUUCUUUAACCCUUUAACCAUUCCCCUGGUCCUAGGGAACACACACACAAACACACACACACACCCUGAUGUCUCACCACCCAGCACAAACGGAACAAGAAAAGACUGAGCAUAUGUUCAGAAAUCCAUGUGUCCUCAUCGUUUUGGAUGGCAAAAGCUUGGUUGAGAAGAAUGGCUUUCGUUUCAUCUCAGCUGCAUGAGCUCUCCUAUAACUCAACAAUUGUGCGACAGAGUGGAGCGGACAGCUCUUCAUUGUACCGUUUUAUUGUGUAACUCUUAAAGCAGAGCUGCGGAAAUACAAGAAAAGGUUCUCUUGUUCCUUGGUUUCAUAAUGAACUGGAAUAUCGUCUUUACGAUGCCCUGGGUUUUGCUGGUUGUAGACUCACACUGUGAAAAAAAUGUGUGUGCUUCUUUUGCCAUCACAUAUUUGAAGUCACAGAAAACAACACAUCUGUAGAAUAUCUGGGUGGGCACUGACUUGUGCUCAUAUGAAAGAGGAUUGCUGGACUGGUGCCUGCCACACACCAGCUUGUAGGAGCCUGUUUCUAAUCAUACUUCUCCAAUGCCAUGUUUCGCAAUUCAGCCGAGUUCUGACAUCCGAAAUUAACCAACCCAAGUAUCUACCCAUGAACGUUUCUGUAACAAAAUACUUAAAACUAGAUAACUUAAAAGAACAGAAUUUUAUUUUUCCUUAGUUCUAGAGGCUGUGCAGUCCAAGAUCCAGGUAUGGUCAGGUUGUCUAGUGAGGACUAUGCUCUCCUUCCAUGAUGGCAUGAAUAAAAAUGACAUGGCUUCUAGUGUGGGGCCUUCACCUUCACUGUUGUUGCCCAGCCUCUCCUACAUAGUUGGUGCUGAGUAUGGAAUUCUGAUGAGAUUCUGUCUUCGCUGUGACUGUCCUCUCAAUAAAAGAUCAUGACACU